rnacentral:misc_RNA from 1 species
GAUGAAGAACGCAGUGAAAUGCGAUAAGUAAUGUGAAUUGCAGAAUUCAGUGAAUCAUCGAAUCUUUGAACGCACCUUGCGCCCUUUGGCCAUUCCGAAGGGCAUGCCUGUUUGAGUAUCAUGAACACCUCAACUCUUAUGGUUUUCCAUGAUGAGCUUGGACUCUGGGGGUUUUGCUGGCUCACAGUCGGCUCCUCUAAAAUGAAUCAGCUUACCAGUGUUUGGUGGGUAUCAUGGGUGUGAUAACUAUCUACGCUUGUGGUUUUUCCACCAGGUAACCUUCAGCAGUGGAGGUUCGCUGGAGCUCAUAGAUGUCUCUCCUCAGUGAGGACAGCCCUUUGAAUGUUUGAUCUCAAAUCAGGUAGGACUACCCGCUGAACUUAAGCAUAUCAAUAAGCGGAGGA